AAACUUCGGAGAUGGUUACAUCCACAAAGAAGACCCCGACAAAGAGAAAGUGUGCCCGAACGACUUAUUUCAUUGGAGGCAACGAGAUCUGCAAGAAUACUUUUCUGUUUCUUAUGGGGUCUAACCACUAACUGAGGUCUAAACCAGGACUAAAACAAGACUAAACCAGGAAGUACAGAUACAAGCUCUAAACAUUGGCAGAGACACCCUGGCUGAUAUAGUCAAACACUAUGAGGAGAAUGGGGCAAGACCACGUUUGAGGAAGAAGCACUCAUUGCCACGUCCACCAGCCAGGUUCAUCAGCCCUGAGGAUAUCAACAGAGUUGUGGACUUCAUAAAACACUAUGCAGAAGACAAUGCCAUCAUGCUGCCUGGCCGACAGCCUGGGCAUAAGGAUUGGCAUGUGAAGUUGCUGCCAACUCAUGUGUCCAAGGCCUCAGUGUGGCGUCUCUACGUGAAGUCUGCUAAGGAGCUUGGUGAGCGUGCAGUUUGUAAAACCAGCUUCAAAGCACUGUGGAACCGACUUCUCCCACACAUCAAAAGUUGCCG